UACAGAGGGGGCAAGCGUUAUUCGGAAUUAUUGGGCGUAAAGGGCGCGUAGGCGGCAUGGCAAGUGGAAGGUGAAAUCCCUCGGCUUAACCGAGGAACUGCCGUCCAAACUGCUUCGCUUGAGACCGGGAGAGGUGAGUGGAAUUCCCAGUGUAGCGGUGAAAUGCGUAGAUAUUGGGAGGAACACCAGUGGCGAAGGCGGCUCACUGGAUCGGUACUGACGCUGAAGCGCGAAAGCUAGGGGAGCAAACAGG
rnacentral:rRNA from 1 species